rnacentral:lncRNA from 1 species
GGAAUAACAAUUCAAAACAGUCCGCAAUGCCACCUCAAGUUUGAUAAUUGCAUUGGAGUUGUGGUACAUGAUGUGAGCGUUUCAUCGCCUGGUGAUAGUCCCAACACAGAUGGAAUUCACCUGCAAAACUCCAAGGAUGUGCUAAUUCAUACUUCCAAUCUUGCAUGCGGUAAUUACAUUGCUCGUAAAUGAAUAAUGUUGCCAUAUAAACCAAAUUUAACCACACAUGAUGAGCUGCAGGUCAAGCUUGAAUCUCAACAAACAAGAAGACCUGCAGGGUCAAAUUGAGGUUAAUAUGGAACACUUGACAGCAUUGUCAUAUCCACUUACCCAACAGAAAUAAGAGAAAGAGGGUGUUGCGUAAGGAACAUGCCUUGAUGCAGGUUCCUUAAAAUUCACUGACAAUCUUAU